GUUGACCUCGGAUCAGGUAGGAAUACCCGCUGAACUUAAGCAUAUCAAUAAGCGGAGGC
rnacentral:rRNA from 1 species